GUGCUUGCUCGGGUCAUUGGGAACUGGGUACCCAACACGUGCCUGGGUUCUGAUCCUCAUUUUCUACUCCCCAAAGAAGGAGUGUGCAGCUCCCUGACCUCAGGCACACAAUGGGCACAAGGACUUGCUUUUUACAGAACCCACACCCUUUAACCAACUACCCGUAUAACAGGACCCUGGUUCCCUUCCUUCAGAUGAAAACUUGCCUUUUCAAACAGCAAAGGGUCUGAAGGGAACAUGUAAUUCCCCUUUCCCAAAGUGUAGACAUUCUACACUUCUGGUCAUGGGAAAAAAAUAGGGGCAGGAGUUAAUGUGGAUGUUUAGCCUCAGGAGAAACUCUAAAUAGAAGCCCUGACAGAGAAAACGCUGUGUGGUGUGCUCUGUGUGGUUUAACAUGUCAAUGCUGUCAGGCUAUCGAGGCCUGCUUGUUACCUAAGCACUCACGUGACUGCAGGGUUUGUGCUGUUAGACAAAUGCAUCUUAACUAUGCCUUUGAGGACACAUUCACAACUGUAGCGUCUGCACCACAAGUGGAACUGACUGACUCUCUCUUCAGCCCCAAAGGAUGGAGACAGGAAACCAAUCCUCCGGUCAGGGUUACCUGUAGCAGAGAAGACCUACCCAAAAAUGCAUCUAGCUGAUCCUGCUAACAGAUGGCACAAAGGGCUGGAGAGUUCUCCACUGAGCACAAGAAGAACAAUAGGCAGUGGAAUUUUCCAGAGACCAC
rnacentral:lncRNA from 1 species